rnacentral:misc_RNA from 1 species
AGGCUCUUUCUGUUCCAGAGGCUGCGAGUCACAGCUUACAUCGUCCGUACCCCCUUCACUCCCCCCACUCACACCGUAAAGCGUUGUCGCUCGUAUCUUUUUCUUCCUUUCCCUUUCCACGUCCACAGCACACACAGCAGCACAUCACGGCACGGCUCUCUCCCCUCCCACCUUUCUCCUCCACCCCCCCCUCGAUCUAUCUCCCACCGACGCCCACCACGUCGUCGCCAUGGGUGCCCCAAAGCGUCUCGGCAAGUACGAGCUGGGCCGUACACUAGGUACUGGCAACUUCUCGAAGGUCAAGAUCGCGCGCGACACGGAGACUGGUAAGGAAUGGGCCAUCAAGGUGAUUGACAAGGAGCAGCUCGUGCGGGAGCGCAUGGAGGAGCAGCUGAAGCGCGAGAUUGCCGUCAUGAAGAUGCUGCGCCAGCCAAACAUUAUUGAGCUGCAUGAGGUCAUGCAGACGAGCCACCACAUCUACCUGGUGCUGGAGCUCGUGACGGGCGGUGAGCUGUUCGAGAAGAUCGCCAGCGCGAAGCGCUUCGAUGAGCCGACGGCGCGGCACUACUUCCACCAGCUCAUCUGUGGCAUCAACUACUGCCACCGCCAGGGCAUUGCUCAUCGUGACUUGAAGCCGGAGAACCUGCUGCUAGAUGCGAACGACACGCUGAAGAUUUCCGACUUUGGUCUGAGCAACCUGCAGCGCACGAGCGUGAGCGGCGGCACAAUGCUGCAGACGGUGUGCGGCACGCCAAAUUAUGUUGCCCCGGAGGUGCUGAAGGAGCAGGGCUAUGAUGGUCUCAAGGCAGACAUCUGGAGCUGCGGUGUGGUGUUGUUCGUCAUGAUGGCUGGCUACUUACCGUUCGACGACGAGAACGUGAACGCGCUCUUUACGAAGAUCGAGCGCGGUGAGUUUCGCAUGGCGCGUCACUUUAGCGCCGACGCGCGCGACUUGAUUUCACGCAUGCUGACGGUCGACCCACAGGAGCGCAUAUCCUUAGACGACGUGAUCGCGCAUCCUUGGUUCUGCGUGGACUGGAACCCGGCGAUGCUGACGCGGGGCGAGAGCCAUUCCUCGCCAAACACGGCUCAGAUCAGCAAUGCGAUUCGUAAUAUGUAAACCAGUGGCACAGGCGCACACGCACAAGCGAGAUCCCCCUCCCCUCCCCUCUCCCUUGCCACCGUUCUACAUACGUGGGCUGCAGGCACCGAUGUCCUCGGCUCCUGGAAACGAGGACGAAAGGAAGGCGCGCGCGACAGAGAGAGAGAGACUGCAAACCGCGAAAAAAGGCAGUGAGUGCGACCCCCCCCCCCCCCCCGGAGCGUGCGAGGAGAGGGAGAGCGGAAAAGACAUAGACGCGGUGCUGGCUCAUCAAGAGCGCGGAGUCGCACAUACCGCGCAGCGGCACCACAGGCGCAGGUGUUUGCCUCCUUACAUGUUUUCGGUGAUGUUCUUAUCAUGGCCAAUCAUUUCCGUGUUGUUUUCGUUUUAUUUUUUGUGUUGAGGAACACGCUGAAACCAACUACAUCACGGCACACACAUACAUGGGCAAACCCACGCACGCACUUGUCUAUAUACAUGUAUAGAUACAUAUAUAAAUAAAUAUAUAUGCUUCCCCCCUUCCCUCCUCUUUAUGUUUUCACUUAUAUUUGUGUGUGUGUGUGCGCAUGUGUGCGUGUCUUUCAGUGUGUCUUGCGCAAGCUGUUAACGUGCCUCAUUGGCGCUCAGGGCGGGGGGGGGGAAGGCAGCUCUUUAUGGCAAAGUCGGUUGCCGUAGUGAAGCGCUGCCGGAGGGAGGGGCGAGCUCGUGUGUGUGUGUGCACACAGAGGCGCGCCAGAAAACAGAAAAGCGAAGAUGAACCGAUACGCUGAGGACGGCGUGGGAAACGGGUGCCAGAAGGCUUUGCCGCCAUCCUGCGUGCCUCCUUCGCUCUUGCCCGCUCGAAAAGGAUGCGAAUGUCCUUGUGCUUCUUCGGCUCGCCUUCUCCGUAUUGUCGCUUGCCCUGUGUGAGAGUGUGCGCCGUAGUGAGGAGGCCAGAGGAAAUGUGAGCGAGAGCGCGCGCCAAGCGAUAGAUUGAAGAUGAAGGGUUGUGGCGCGGAUGGUGGACAUCGGCCCUCCCUCCCAACCAACUUCAAUGCUCAUCUCUCUUACUCUGUCUUUUUAUUUUUAUUUUUGUUUCUCUCUGCAUCCCUCUCGCUCUGCGCUGCACGAUCUUAUGUACCGCUUACCUGCGUGUGUGCCUGUGUGCGGGUAGAUCCUUGCUUUUUGUCGUUGACUCUGGGCGCUGUUCCCUUCGUGUUUGCCACGAUGACCGGUGUUUUGCCCGAGGCUAUGCAGCGGAAGAGAGAGGAAGGGACGGCACAAGACGUGUGCCCUCCACACGCACACCUCCUUCCGUCCCCUCAAGGAGCAGAAGUACGAUAAAGGGGACAGGAAGAGAGUGCGAGUUGCACUUCGCGCGUGCGCGUGCGCUUCUUCUCAAUCUUUUCUUUUCAUUUGGCUACGGCCGGUGCCCGCUCCUCUCUCGCGGUGAUGAACAACGCUAAGCGAUGCUUUCUGGCUCGUCUUUAUCGCUGUAUGGCGUUAUGUGAUUCGUCGUCCUGUUGUUUGAGUAGCGACUGUUGAUGUUGAUUCGAUGUGCAAUCCUCUCCUCUUCUUCCUGGGUGCGUGCAUGUGCGUCUUGUCUCGCUCUCUCCCUCCUUGGUUGUAAGCUCCUCCUUGCGUUUUCCUUAUUUGGUGUCUUAGCGGGCUUUACACCUCGACCACGGCCGGCAACAACCCUCUCCGCCCUUUCCUCUCUUUCCUCUCCUAGUGUCUUCCCCACCCCACCCCACCCUCUCCCUCUCUCUCAUGUACCCUCUUAUGCGUUUGUGUCUACUUGUUUACGUCCUCCGCCUCUCCACCCCUCCCCUCCGCCUCUCCACCCCUCCCCUCCGCCUCUCCACCCCUCCCCUCCGCCUCUCCACCCCUCCCCUCCGCCUCUCCACCCCUCCCCUCCGCCUCUCCACCCCUCCCCUCCGCCUCUCCACCCCUCCCCUCCGCCUCUCCACCCCUCCCCUCCGCCUCUCCACCCCCUCCGCCUCGUUUUGUCUUUGCGCUGGUUCGUUUUGUUUUCCUUUUUUGUUCCGUUGUUUGUUUGCAUUGGGUGGUGGUGGUGGUAACGUCAUUCAUCUUUUCCGUCUGUUGCGGAGCUACUCAGCUCUGGGUCUCUGCCCCCCCCCCCCCUCUCUCGCCUUUCUUGUUUCUAUAUAUAUAUAUUCGUUGUCGUGUUAGCUGAUGAUAAUGGCCGUUGUGCAGGUCUUCGCGUGUGCGCGAAGGAAGAGAGCGAGAACGGCAUGCAAGGCGUAGGAGAGGAGAGGGGGUGGAAGGAGGAGGGGGGCAUGACCGGCGAGGUGCACAUCCAGAGGAUGGAGCCAAUGCAUGAGAAAGCAACGCAAGCAAUGGAGAGGACGUAACAGUACAAAAAAACGAAAAAGGUGGAUAGGUGCGAGAGGCGAGAGGGUUAAAGUGAUGUCGGCCAGCUGCGCUGCAACACGCUACACCUGUUUUAUGCCUGUAUGUUUCUGUUGUGUAUGCGUGCCUGUUUUGCCUAUCCCUGGUAUGUGUGGGUGAUGAUGGUGGUAGUUCUUGUCGCUGCUUUGUGAUGGAUGACGACCAUCAUGGCAGAGGGUCGUUCUUCGUUUUCGUUUUCGUUUCUGUCUCUCUUACUUUCUAGCCUCGCCUCUCUCAUGUACGUGUGUGUGUGUGUUCGCUUCUUUCUUGAUGAUGUUGAAGCCACCAUUGAGACGUUUCCCCUCGACGUCUUCGGUUGCUGUCGCUGUGGGCUGAUGCAGGUUUGAUUCUCUGUGUGUGUACCUUCGCUGCCUGUAUGUCUGUCUGUUGCACUGGCUGGCUCUGUGCCUCUGUCUCUUGUUGGUUUUGUUUUCAUGUUCAUGAGCCUCUCCAAAUACCAUUGCCAUCCUGAAGCCGCCGACCCCUCCCCCCAAACCCCACCCAAGCACCAGAACAACGCACAUAUAUAUAUAUAUAU